CCUACGGGGGGCAGCAGUGGGGAAUUUUGGACAAUGGGCGCAAGCCUGAUCCAGCCAUGCCGCGUGAGUGAAGAAGGCCUUCGGGUUGUAAAGCUCUUUCAGACGGAAAGAAAUCGGUGUGUCUAAUACACGCACUGGAUGACGGUACCGUAAGAAGAAGCACCGGCUAACUACGUGCCAGCAGCCGCGGUAAUACGUAGGGUGCGAGCGUUAAUCGGAAUUACUGGGCGUAAAGCGUGCGCAGGCGGUUAUGUAAGACAGAUGUGAAAUCCCCG
rnacentral:rRNA from 1 species